UUCCCCACGGGAAUGAAGUCCCUAUCCAGGGCCUUGCCUGACAUCUGCAUAACGAAGAGAGGUGCACUGUCUUCUCAAGGCUUUCCGAGAAUGAGACAGGAGCCCAGACCGUGGUAUCACUCACACUCAGGGUGGGUCUUCCCGCCUCAGUUAAACCUCCUUGGAGAAGACUUCAGGCUUGCUCAGGUAGAGAAGCCAAGUUGGGAACUGGGAACCAGCUGCAAUGGACGCCACACCAAUACACGGGG